rnacentral:lncRNA from 10 species
GUCUUCUUCCAAAGAAGAGCCUUUGGUAUUUGGCAGAGCCUCGCCAAUUUGGGGCGCACCUCCCCUUCCUGGGAUGCUCUCAGAAGGCAAACCAAUUCCCAGAAGAGAGGGAAAAACAGCCACAACAGAGAGAACCUUUGCUGUCCCUGUUUGGAAAGAGAUUGGGAUUUCCUGGAGAGGGCUUGCUUCUACUGCAGGUUUGUUUAAAAGCUCAACAUCUAUUCUGGAAGAGAACAACGCAGACUCCAGGAAGAUGAUUUUUUUUAUUGAAAAAGUUGGCAGGAGGCACGGCAUGGAAUGGGGAACAUAGAGGGAUACAGAGACAGGUUUGUAAAAUAAAAACUAGAUCAUUCUGGGGACUUGUUUUGUAGCCAGAGUUUUCUACUUGACAUAUAAUUAAAUGUCA